CCCAGCUGUAGGCAGCUGCCUAGGUUCAUUGUACCUAGGCAAGUUACACUGCUGGGAAAAAGCAGUUAAUAGCUUGCAGAGACCCUGGGCCUAGUUAAUGCUCAAU
ensembl:snoRNA SNORA74 Small nucleolar RNA SNORA74